rnacentral:rRNA from 1 species
UGCCUGAAAUUGCUGAAAGGGAAGCGAAUGGAACCAGUGCUUCUUGGCAAGAUUGGUGCGUGCUAAUGUGAUUGCCUGCUUCCUCAGCGCAAGCGUGGCUGUGGGUUUUGAUCAGGACGCGCGUGUUGUUUCUUGCCUUGUGUGUCAUCGUCAGUUCUCAAUCGAGGAAAACGCCAGGGACAUGGUAGUUUGCCCAUGGGUGAGCGAAUGUGCUUGGUUGAACUCAUUUGUGAACUGGUUCUUGCGUGUCUGGUUGCAGUGCUCUGUGUCCCCAUGACUCUUUGGUGGGCUUGCCCUCCUUGGAUGGAGUGGGUGACCAGGACAUCUCCCUGACACAACGACGUUGACUAAAUGGUUCUAUUCGACCCGUCUUGAAACACGGACCAAGGAGUCUAACAUAUGUGCGAGUUCACGGGCGGGUAAACCUGCUUGCGCAAUGAAAGUGACUGCUGGGAUCUUUGCACCAGCAACCGACCAAUCAAUUGAGAGAGGUUUGAGUAUGAGCAUAUCUGUUAGGACCCGAAAGAUGGUGAAC